GGUGGUGGGUAAUUCAACCCAGCAUCAGGGCAUUAGUGACUAAGGGAAAAAUAGGCCUCUUUCCUGAGCCUUUCCGGAUGAGGUCAUUGUUUUCAGACAGUGUGUACCUAAUAUAAAUGGGCUCAAAGUCCAUGACUUGUCUCAUACCAGUGUUUUGUUAGGGAACAACAUCUAAACCCAUGAUGAACAGCCAGGCUGAUAGUAAAAGGAGCCCCCCCAAGUUAUAGUAUUUUUGUUAAAUCCUAGUAUUAAAAAAAGUCAUAAAAAACCCAUCUGGUGAGAUGAUAAUUCAUUAAGUGAAAAGAAGAGGCAGAAGGCUUGGGAAAAUCCAUCCUUUUCUUUCUUUGUCUCAUGUGUUUGCGUUAUUGUGAAAUGACAGUGACCGAAAUCUGAAUUCUGGAUUGUGCAGAGUGGAGGAAAAUUUGAAGAACAUUCUGGGUGUGUUUUAAUAGAGGCUUCCCAGAAAGGACAGUUUGCUGCAGAUGUGGUGUCAGUGAACUGAUGUUCACUGUUCAUGGUGGAGACACAGUGGAGAGGAGAAGAGGAUGAGGAUUCUGUGUGUGAGGAAGGAGCUAGAAUCAUGCAGGAAACUCCUCAUUCUUCCUGAGCUGGCUUGUGGCACACCCUCUGGUGUGGCACACCCCUCCCUCGAGUCCAACUCAGCCCACAAACUCCUGGGAGGAAAGCCAGGGCCCCAGCCUUUUCUUGGAGGAUUGGAUGCAGUCCUUCCGCGUUCCAGCUACCUGGUGAAGAAGAGCUGAGAUCUCAGAGCUUUGUGAAUGUUGAUGAUCUGGGAACCGCCUGAGCUCAUGGACCCUCAUCCUGUCAUCGGAGACAACCAAGUGGCCCACCCGCAGGACCCUCACCACCCAUCCGAGAAGCCAGUCAUUCACUGCCAUAAAUGUGGGGAGCCGUGCAAAGGUGAAGUGCUUCGGGUCCAGACCAAACAUUUCCACAUCAAAUGUUUCACCUGCAAAGUGUGCGGCUGUGACCUGGCGCAAGGGGGCUUCUUCAUCAAGAACGGGGAGUAUCUGUGCACCCUGGACUACCAGAGGAUGUACGGGACACGCUGCCAUGGCUGUGGGGAAUUCGUGGAAGGAGAGGUGGUGACCGCCCUGGGCAAGACGUACCAUCCCAACUGCUUUGCUUGCACUAUCUGCAAGCGCCCGUUUCCACCUGGAGAUCGCGUCACAUUCAAUGGGAGAGACUGCCUCUGUCAACUCUGUGCGCAGCCAAUGUCAUCCAGCCCUCAAGAAGCCUCCUGCUCCAGCAAUUGUGCUGGCUGCGGAAGAGAUAUCAAGAACGGGCAGGCGCUGCUGGCGCUGGAGAAGCAGUGGCACUUGGGGUGCUUUAAAUGCAAGUCCUGCGGGAAGGUCCUCACCGGGGAGUACAUCAGCAAGGACGGCGCUCCGUAUUGCGAGAAGGACUACCAGGGGCUCUUUGGGGUGAGAUGUGAAGCCUGUCACCAGUUUAUCACAGGGAAGGUGCUGGAGGCAGGUGACAAACAUUACCACCCCAGCUGUGCACGAUGCAGCAGAUGCAACCAGAUGUUCACAGAAGGAGAGGAAAUGUAUCUUCAAGGUUCCACCGUUUGGCAUCCCGACUGUAAGCAAUCUACUAAGACUGAGGAAAAGCUGCGGCCAAACGUUCGUCGUUCUUCAUCCGAUUUCUUUUAUCCCAAAAGUCUGAUUCGACGCACAGGACGGUCUCCGUCUCUGCAGCCUACCAGGACUUCCUCGGAAAGCAUUUAUUCUAGACCAGGCUCCAGUAUCCCUGGCUCGCCAGGUCACACUAUCUAUGCAAAAGUGGACAACGAAAUCCUGGAUUACAAGGAUUUAGCAGCCAUUCCCAAGGUCAAGGCAAUUUAUGAUAUUGAACGUCCAGAUCUUAUUACCUAUGAGCAUUUCUACUCUUCGGGCUAUGAUGACAAACAGGACAGACAGAGCCUGGGAGAGUCUCCAAGGACUUUGUCUCCUACUCCAUCAGCAGAAGGGUACCAGGACGUUCGGGAUCGGAUGAUCCACCGCUCCACCAGCCAGGGCUCCAUCAACUCCCCCGGGUACAGCCGCCACAGCUAUACCCCAACCACGUCUCGCUCUCCCCAGCAUUUUCACAGACCCGAGCUGCUGUCUCCUGGUGUGCAGAGGUUGUCCCACCUGCGCACCAGCAGCCUCAGCUCCACCCACAGCGACUCCCGCCCCAACUCCCCCUUUCGACACCACUUCAUUCCCCAUAUCAAAGGCAAUGAGCCGUGCAGCGGCCGGAACUCCCCUCUCCCUUACCGGCCAGACAGCCGCCCUCUAACUCCAACUUACGCUCAGGCCCCUAAACAUUUCCAUGUUCCAGAUCAAGGGAUCAACAUUUACCGAAAACCACCCAUCUACAAACAGCAUGAUGCAGCUGCCCUGGCAGCCCAGAGCAGGUCUUCAGAAGACAUCAUCAAGUUUUCCAAGUUUCCAGCAGCUCAGGCUCCAGACCCCAGCGAGACACCAAAGAUUGAGACGGACCACUGGCCUGGUCCCCCCUCACUUGCCGCCGUAGGAGCUGACAUGAGACGCAGAUCUAGUGGCAGAGAGGAAGAUGAUGAGGAACUUCUGAGACGCCGGCAGCUUCAAGAAGAGCAGUUAAUGAAGCUCAACUCAGGCCUGGGGCAGUUGAUAUUGAAAGAAGAGAUGGAGAAGGAGAGCCGGGAGAGGUCAUCCCUGUCAGCCAGUCGCUAUGAUUCUCCCAUCAACUCAGCGUCACGUGCUCUGUCAUCAAAAACCUCUUCUCUCCCAGGCUAUGGAAGAAAUGGGCUUCACCGGCCUGUUUCUACAGACUUUGCUCAGUACAACAGCUAUGGGGACGUCAGUGGCGGAGUGCGAGACUACCAGGUAUGGAACACUUUGUCUUUCUCGAGUUGGCCACACCAGCAGAACAGCCAUUUUUCACCCCAGACACCCUUCCAGAUGGCCACAUGCCUGCAAUGAGAAUGGACCGAGGAGUGUCUAUGCCCAACAUGUUGGAACCAAAGAUAUUUCCAUAUGAAAUGCUCAUGGUGACCAACAGAGGGCGCAACAAAAUCCUAAGAGACGUGGACAGAACCAGGCUGGAGCGUCACUUAGCCCCAGAAGUGUUUCGGGAAAUCUUUGGAAUGUCCAUACAGGAGUUUGACAAGUUACCUCUUUGGAGACGCAAUGACCUGAAGAAAAAAGCGAAACUCUUCUAAAUCCUACACGUAGACAGCAAUUAGCAAAAGGACUGACAAUGGCGGUGACACAUAGGAUGUUGUAUUAAGGCCCAAACUGGACUGGAGAAUUUGCAAACUACUAUCCCUCAGCAACAACAAAAAGGGAAAAUCUGAUUAAAACACCUACAAGCCAAAUAUUGAGCCGACCGACGGCAACACUUGCCAGGAAGCAAUGGGGUAGAAAUUUCUAUGUUCCCACACUUGACAGUCGUGUUCACAUGUGACCUUUUUACAUCACCACAUGUAUACAACAGGAGCUACUUCUUUUGUUUUCUUUUAACUGUUGUCCAACAAUUGUGCUGACUGUGUGGAUAAGUGCCAGCAAGUGCCCUUAGGAUGCCGCAUGGAAAAAAGCAGUUGUAAUAAUUCCAAAGUAUGAAUAUAUUUAUUAUGUAGCACUGUGGCUAAGAAGCAAGAGCCUGAGGGACAUAUCCAUGUGGUAGAGCCAUUUUGCACACGCCUUUCCUCACUGGCCUCACGCAGCUCUGCCUGCACCCCAGCAGGAUGGAAAUCGGUCGGGGAACCCGGCAGAUCUGGCCGGGCGGGCUGAAUAGCAGCCCGAGUAAUUUCUAACAAGCUCCUUGUUCUCUGCUCUUUGCUAGGACCUGGCUGGUAAAGGACUUAGCUAUUAUUUAAAAAGAAAUUUUUUUUAAGAGAAAGAGAGGGAAAAGGAAUGAAAGGAAAACCUCCCUUAACUCUUUUUCUGCAUCAAAUAGUGUGCUUUCUUCUUCCUUCCCACCAAGGACAGGAGCUGUCUCGGGGGGACCCCUUUGCAAAGAAAGGAAAAAAACAUUUUCUCCAGAUUGGCCCAGCUGCAUGCUGGUUGAUGAUGUUAGCACAGGGGCCGUAGCACUCUAGGCAAAAAAAAAAAUUGUUCCGUGUCUUCCCACUGCAAGUUCUUGCCUCUGCUCUAUAUCUGGCAUCCUCUCAUUCAGAUCAAGCCCACGCGGAUUUUGGUUUUUUUAAGGUCUUUUCAGUGGUAGGCUAAGGAAAGGCAUGUUUUUCCAUUUUAAGUCUCUGCAACUCCAAGAUAGAUUGCCUCGAACUGAUUUAAUUUGGCCUUUUCAGCUUUCCUUCUGGCCUAGCACUGUGGACUUCAUGGUUUGUGUGUAUGGAUGAAUGUGUGUGUGUUUUAAUUCACCCAGGGUAGUUUCGUGAGUCUGCACAUGCUUUUUAAUUUUAUUUCUGCUGGAAUGCUCAUCCCACUGUGCUGCAGCUUCCAAGGGACAGUUGCACAGGUGUGCGUGACUCAAAGAUCAAGAGUGAGGCCAAACUGUAUCCCCGCCACUACAUUCUCUGUGGGAGGGCGUUGGUGCUUGGAAGCCAGCACACUCCAUGGCUGACGUAACUCAGGUCCGCAUCAGACCGAAGACCACAGACCUAGGAUCAGGCUGUGUGUGGGAUCAGAGCAUCUCACCAGAGCCCUCAACUUGUCAACACAAGUUGAGUGUCUAGGAUUUCACCCGAACUUGCGUCUCAGACCACAUCGUGAUUCCUGAAAGCCAGUGGCUGUGACUCCAACGGGAUGUGAGUCAGAUGAGGGAGAGGAUCUGCAGCCCCACCCACAGGAGGUCAGGUCACAUGUAUUCUGCUCUGGGGCUCUGCUAAGGAGUUAAAGCUCGGUUUUAAAGCCAAAGGAGAGAACAAUUCACCUGCCUAUGCCACUGAUAAUAAAAGCUCAGAAAUUCUUCCCGCUACCGGCACCAAGGAUGAGGAUUGGUUAGUAGCUGACACCAGGGGCAAAAGCAAGGAGAAUAGUUUCUGAACCUGUGCUGCAGACCCCAACCUCAUGACACACUCCAUCAGCUGGGUGUUGAAUUGAGCACUGUAAUUGCUUUAUGGUAUUCUCCUGCAGUCUUCCCAGAGGCAUCUGAAUUUGCCUGUCCUUUCAGUGCUGGGCACUGAAUGUUUGAGGACUGUUCUCACAAAUUCGUGUGUGUGUGUGUUUUGGACCUACUAACAUAUUUUGCAAACAGCUCUGAUGGGAUGGACCUGAGGAGACCAGCUCUUCCUUGCAGUGUUGCCCCUUCGUAUAUCAAUUGCCUCUUGCUUCAUCUGAGGUUUCCACUGUCCAUCUUCUUUCUGCCUCGGCACCAUGCCUGGGUGUCCUAGUCCUAGCUUUGUCUGGCAAAGUAAGGGGUGGGGACUAUGGUGUAUUCCCAGUGUUUCCCUGCCACAAUCAAUGACAGGGAUGGUGCAAUAGGUCCCAGGGCUAGGCUGGGGAGAGAUUUUUUUCAUUGUGGGGAUAAUAAAGGACCCUGAAUAUUUUCAUCAGUUAAUGAGUUAUGAGCCAUGCACAUGCAGAUCAAAUGUCAGUAUAAGAAAAAUUGCAAUGAUAGUUAACUGAAUCCAAAAUCUGUUCCCACUAAUAAAACCCUACUUUUCUUGUAGCUUUUGAAUUCAGUUCUGCAUCCAACUUAGCGGGGACAGAGGAGGUCCUUUCCAUAUCAAGUGUAUUAGCAAAUUUAAACAGCACAAUGCAAAAAUGUGUUGCCAGAAAACCUCAGUCACCUCCUGCCUGCCAGCAGAGCAGUGCUGUGCUCUGGGGAGAGGGCACUGGAAGUUGCAAUGCAGAAUGGGUUCCCCCAACUCCACUCCCCAGCAGAAGGCUCCCCCUAGAGGGAUGGGUUCUGGAGCUCUCUGUUUCUCCCAACUGCCAAGUCUCUGUGGGCUACCAUGCCCUAUCCAUUUUGCUAAACUGGGCUCAGCAUGCUUGUCCCCAAAAUGUCCGGGUCACUGCACAGGAGAUAGUGUUCUCUGCUUGAUCCCUGCCCUGCGCUACACGUAAAAAGUCCAGUUAUUAACAGUCAAAUGAACAGGGAUUGUUCACUCCAGGAAGGGAAUCAUGCACAUGGCAAGCUUCCCCAGUAUAUACGUAAAGGGCUACAUUUUUGAGUGUUGGGCUUACUUGUGAUGCUUUAAGCACCGCUGAUGGCAGGAAGUAAAAGAGGCCUCUAUGGCAAUAUGAGAGUCAGUGCUUCCUUUAAAGUUUCUUCCAGAAAAGCCAGGAUGCCAUCUAGUCUUCCUGUGUGACUUAGGAUGAGACAUAGAGCGCAUCUGGAAACUUGCAUAGCUGGCUAUGCAUCUACCUUGUGGUUUGGGUGAGUUAUGAAACAUUCUUGAUGUGAUUGCUUCAAUAGGUAAAGAUCAAUUGCCCGUUCUCUGAAACCUCAAACAGAAAAGCUAGAGUUAAUAGGUAAAAAGUUGCAAAAAAAAGUGGUUUUUAUCUGCCCUGUCUUCUAGGCUCUUCCUCCUUCUCCCAAUUCUGUUGUUUCCAAACUGAGUUUCCUCUUCUGAGGUGAGGCUGCAGCAACUCUUUUCAACUCUCCUCCCCUCAGUCUGGUUAUGUCAAUCAACUCCACUUGGAGAAGUCUUGCUGGAAAUGUUUAUAAAACUUUCUCCUAGUUUCUUUACACUUUAAAGCAAACACCUUUUUCUAAAGAAUUGCUUCUCAGAUGAUUAUAUAAAAUGUAUACGCUUUUGCAAGUUUAAAAAAUUCAAAUUAACCACUUUUGACUAGGUAGGUCUUUCUAAAAACUCUUCAAAGCGGACUUGGUGUUAGUGUUCUCUCGUUCUCCUGCCUGUUGAAGGGGCAGGCGACCCUCCAGGCUCUGGGCUCACAGAGCCUCUUUCUGACUGUCUUGAAAGAUGGUGGAAGGAAAAUGAACUCUUCAUCACCAACUCUUCUGUGUCCUCUGAAGCCAGCUCAGUUCUUACCUUUCUGUAUUUCUGGUCACUGUUUAAUCUGUUUCCUAGGCCAGCCUUGAUUUUAUUUGAUUUGUCAAAUUAUUUUCUUUUACAAACCAAGUGUUUGUCAGUAUUCCCUAAAACUCACUCAUAGUGCUCUCUUCUGAAGAAUGUUCUGUUCAGAAAAAGAGAUUAUUUGGGGCUUGAGAUUUGCAAUGGCACCAUCUUAGAGUACAUUAAGGGAACUACGCAACUGUGUUGUAAUGAAAAGAAAGAGAAACUUUGACAUUUUAAGAAAAUUCCUGUCUUUCCAUUUGCUGCCCAGGAAGCAGUGGGGAGAUGGAGACUGACACGCUUUGCUUAUGGAUUUUUGUGUUUUUAUUUGGCCAUUUAAUGUAUGGUAAACUCAAAAAGAAAGGGGGAGGUGGUCAGUUUAAGCUGAAAGGAACUUUCCAAACAAUGUAUGUGUACACAGCAGAGUUAAACAAAUCCAACAUUUUUUGAUGCUUAGUAUAAUUGAGUGGCAAUUGUUACCAUUAAAUAAAAUUCUUCCCAAAAGUGUCUCUUGCCCAGAAUGAAGAUCCCUUGAGUCAUUUUCUGAGCCCAUUCUCCAAAGGCAGGAGACAAUAGCGUAUACGCUAACAUUCAGAGAGGCAGUGAGCCACUGCAUGAUUGUAUACGCGUUUGUUUCUCUACGGAAGAGAAAACGAAUGUCUGCAGAAUUGAUGUCCUUUGGGGGUUUGGUGUACACACCCGUCCAGUAAUAAAUGUGUGUGGUUUCUGUGAGUUGCUGACAAUCCUGCAUCGAAGCUCUCGCGGUUCUUUCAUUUUAUGUUGGGUUUAUGGCGUUUUCUAUUCAAGUGUCGGAAGGCACACGGCUCUUCCUGCCCCCCGGCCCCCACCCUCCCCUUUCAGACUAUGAAAGCAAAUAUUUGGAAGAACCGCUGUUUAAAAGAUGUGUUGUGUCCCCGUGAAAGUGAGUGGGUGGGUCCUCUGCACCCCGAGUACCGUGUGCUAGCACGCAGAGGCGGUGUGGCCCGCUGGCCCCAUGUCGCUGUGCUUUGUGAUUGCCACCUGCCCCGUGCUCCUGUUGCAGGCAGCACCUGCCCCCCGAUCCGCGCUGCGCUCUGCAUCGCUGUUGUACUCACAACUCUGUGAAUAAAGUGUGUGCUUUAUUCGUAAA